AUUGAACGCUGGCGGCAGGCCUAACACAUGCAAGUCGAACGGUAACAGGAAACAGCUUGCUGUUUCGCUGACGAGUGGCGGACGGGUGAGUAAUGUCUGGGAAACUUCCUGAUGGAGGGGGAUAACUACUGGAAACGGUAGCUAAUACCGCAUAACGUCGCAAGACCAAAGAGGGGGACCUUCGGGCCUCUUGCCAUCAGAUGUGCCCAGAUGGGAUUAGCUAGUAGGUGGGGUAACGGCUCACCUAGGCGACGAUCCCUAGCUGGUCUGAGAGGAUGACCAGCCACACUGGAACUGAGACACGGUCCAGACUCCUACGGGAGGCAGCAGUGGGGAAUAUUGCACAAUGGGCGCGAGCCUGAUGCAGCCAUGCCGCGUGUAUGAAGAAGGCCUUCGGGUUGUAAAGUACUUUCAGCGGGGAGGAAGGGAGUAAAGUUAAUACCUUUGCUCAUUGACGUUACCCGCAGAAGAAGCACCGGCUAACUCCGUG
rnacentral:rRNA from 1 species